UACGUAGGGGGGCAAGCGUUGUCCGGAUUUAUUGGGCGUAAAGAGCGUGUAGGCGGCCAAGCAGGUCCGCUGUGAAAACUCGAGGCUCAACCUCGAGAGGUCGGUGGAAACCGUUUGGCUAGAGUCCGGAAGAGGAGAGUGGAAUUCCCGGUGUAGCGGUGAAAUGCGCAGAUAUCGGGAAGAACACCCGUGGCGAAGGCGGCUCUCUGGGACGGUACUGACGCUGAGACGCGAAAGCGUGGGGAGCGAACAGG
rnacentral:rRNA from 1 species